GACGAACGCUGGCGGCGUGCUUAACACAUGCAAGUCGAACGGUGAAGCAGAGCUUGCUCUGUGGAUCAGUGGCGAACGGGUGAGUAACACGUGAGUAACCUGCCCUUUACUCUGGGAUAAGCGUUGGAAACGACGUCUAAUACCGGAUACGAGCUGAGACCGCAUGGUCAUCAGUUGGAAAGAUUUUUUGGUCAAGGAUGGACUCGCGGCCUAUCAGCUUGUUGGUGAGGUAAUGGCUCACCAAGGCGACGACGGGGAGCCGGCCUGAGAGGGUGACCGGCCACACUGGGACUGAGACACGGCCCAGACUCCUACGGGAGGCAGCAGUGGGGAAUAUUGCACAAUGGGCGCAAGCCUGAUGCAGCAACGCCGCGUGAGGGAUGACGGCCUUCGGGUUGUAAACCUCUUUUAGUAGGGAAGAAGCGAAAGUGACGGUACCUGCAGAAAAAGCACCGGCUAACUACGUG
rnacentral:rRNA from 1 species